AUCCCCAGGGAAACCCGGAUACUAACAGGCAAAUGGCUUCAACAGAGGAGCCCCUGACAAAGAAGAUGCUGGACAUCCCUGUCCUUAACCCUCAGACUGGAGACGGAAAUUCUACGUGUCCUCGAGUGGCUUCCUACUCUUCUCACAGAACAGUCUUGGCUCCUUGACCUGGUGUGAGAAGCAGGAGCACGUCCCCCGGCCCCCGCGCCUCCACAGUGAGUGAAGUGCCCCUGACUCGGCUUGGCUUCCGCCACCCAUCAUGGAAGGCUUUGGCAGACCGCUGUGGAAACAAACUCCUAAAUAUUUUAAACAGAGACCAUGGCUGACAGGAGUCAAACUUUCUGUAUUAAGGGAGGAUUAAAGCCUCAGCUAUUUCCAGUAAUUUAUUAUGCACCCGCUCAUAAACACAUUGCACUGGUCACGGAAUGUAUACGUGUAGCAGGCCCUCCAGAGACGGAUGAAGAACACUUCAAGGGCAUCAAGGGCACCCAGGUUCCAGCAUGGAAGCAGAGUCACAGUUGGCAACCUUUGCACGAAUUCUGACCCAAGAGAACGAAAAUAUUCUGAGGAGCAAGCUUGAAGGGAUUGAACCCGUGCCCCCUGCAGUGGAAGUGCAGAGUCUUAACCACUGGAUCACCAGGGAAGUCCCUCAGAUUAUACUGCUGAACUGGUCAUGCUGGCUCUGCAUCUUUUGUAAAAGAAUGCUGCCUAUAGCCUGAAAUAUACAGGACAGCCUACAGGAUAACCUAACCUUGACCUGACCUGAACAGAGAAUAACAGGAACAUCAGGACCUGACUGUGACAUGGCCUACGUAGACAGCUACAUCCAACAACACAAAGAAGUUUGCAACAACUAACCACGCCCCUCCCUCAUCUUGCCUUUAAAGGGCUUUGCUAAAAGCCUUUGGGGAGUUCCAGCUUUUUAAGGCAUAAGCCACCCAUCUCUUUGCCUGGCCCUGCAAUAAACAUUUCU